GAUGAAGAACGUAGCGAAAUGCGAUAAGUAAUGUGAAUUGCAGAAUUCAGUGAAUCAUCGAAUCUUUGAACGCACAUUGCGCCCGGCAGCAAUCUGCCGGGCAUGCCUGUCCGAGCGUCAUUUCUUCCCUCGAGCGCGGCUAGCCCUACGGGGCCUGCCGUCGCCCGGUGUUGGGGCUCUACGGGUGGGGCUCGUCCCCCCCGCAGUCCCCGAAAUGUAGUGGCGGUCCAGCCGCGGCGCCCCCUGCGUAGUAGAUCCUACAUCUCGCAUCGGGUCCGGCGAAGGCCAGCCGUCGAACCUUUUAUUUCAUGGUUUGACCUCGGAUCAGGUAGGGUUACCCGCUGAACUUAAGCAUAUCAAUAAGCGGAGGA
rnacentral:misc_RNA from 1 species